AGUGAACGCUGGCGGUAGGCCUAACACAUGCAAGUCGAACGGCAGCACAGUAAGCGCUUGCUCUUACGGGUGGCGAGUGGCGGAUGGGUGAGGAAUACAUCGGAAUCUACUUUUUCGUGGGGGAUAACGUAGGGAAACUUACGCUAAUACCGCAUACGACCUACGGGUGAAAGCAGGGGAUCUUCGGACCUUGCGCGAUUGAAUGAGCCGAUGUCGGAUUAGCUAGUUGGCGGGGUAAAGGCCCACCAAGGCGACGAUCCGUAGCUGGUCUGAGAGGAUGAUCAGCCACACUGGAACUGAGACACGGUCCAGACUCCUACGGGAGGCAGCAGUGGGGAAUAUUGGACAAAGGGCGCAAGCCUGAUCCAGCCAUACCGCGUGGGUGAAGAAGGCCUUCGGGUUGUAAAGCCCUUUUGUUGGGAAAGAAAAGCGGCAGGUUAAUACCCCGCUGUUCUGACGGUACCCAAAGAAUAAGCACCGGCUAACUUCGUG
rnacentral:rRNA from 1 species